rnacentral:rRNA from 1 species
UACGGGGGGGGCAAGCGUUGUUCGGAAUUACUGGGCGUAAAGGGCUCGUAGGCGGCCAACUAAGUCAGACGUGAAAUCCCUCGGCUUAACCGGGGAACUGCAUCUGAUACUGGAUGGCUUGAGUUCGGGAGAGGGAUGCGGAAUUCCAGGUGUAGCGGUGAAAUGCGUAGAUAUCUGGAGGGACAUCGGUGGCGAAGGCGGCUUCCUGGACCGACACUGACGCUGAGGCGCGAAAGCCAGGGGAGCAAACGGG